rnacentral:rRNA from 1 species
CCUACGGGGGGCUGCAGUCGAGAAUUUUUCACAAUGGGCGCAAGCCUGAUGGAGCGACGCCGCGUGGGGGAUGAAUGGCUUCGGCCCGUAAACCCCUGUCAUUUGCGAUCAACCGUUAUUAUUUAAAAGAUGAUAACCUGAUAGUAGCGAAAGAGGAAGGGACGGCUAACUCUGUGCCAGCAGCCGCGGUAAUACAGAGGUCCCAAGCGUUGUUCGGAUUUACUGGGCGUAAAGGGUGCGUAGGUGGCGGUGUAAGUCGGAUGUGAAAUCUCCGAGCUCAACUCGGAAACUGCAUUGGAAACUACAUUGCUCGAGGGUUGGAGGGGGGACUGGAAUACUUGGUGUAGCAGUGAAAUGCGUAGAUAUCAAGUGGAACACCAGUGGCGAAGGCGAGUCCCUGGACAACUCCUGACACUGAGGCACGAAAGCUAGGGGAGCAAACAGGAUUAGAUACCCCUGUAGUC